rnacentral:rRNA from 1 species
AUACGUAGGGUGCGAGCGUUGUCCGGAAUUACUGGGCGUAAAGGGCGCGUAGGCGGCCCGGUAAGUCUGGAGUGAAAGUCCUGUUUUUAAGAUGGGAAUUGCUUUGGAUACUGUCGGGCUUGAGUGCAGGAGAGGUAAGUGGAAUUCCCAGUGUAGCGGUGAAAUGCGUAGAGAUUGGGAGGAACACCAGUGGCGAAGGCGACUUACUGGACUGUAACUGACGCUGAGGCGCGAAAGUGUGGGGAGCAAACAGGAUUAGAUACCCUGGUAGUCCACACUGUAAACGAUGAAUGCUAGGUGUAGGGGGUAUCGACCCCUUCUGUGCCGCAGUCAACACAAUAAGCAUUCCGCCUGGGGAGUACGGCCGCAAGGUUGAAACUCAAAGGAAUUGACGGGG